UUCGCACAUCUGCCCUCAGGGAGGCGUUGCUAUCGCUCCGGCCUCGGUAACCAAUCAGGGCCUCCAGAUGGACUGCCAGUCAGAAUGGAGGCGGGCACUUCCGGUCCACCAAGCUGAAGGCGUGGGCGACCGAGACGGGAGGAGGCCGCGCUGUUGCGUGUGCUGAGCUGUGAGCCGGUCCCGGGGGCUGUGAGGAGAGCGCGGCGAGCGCGGAAGCCGCCAUGGUGAGCGAGCAGCCGCCGUCCGCACUCGAGGAGCCGCGGGCGCCGGCGUGGGUCCUCCCGGGGCCGUGGGAACCCGCGGCGGCCGGAGCGGCGACUCCACUUGGUCCCCUGAGGUCCCUCCAGCUCCCAGGCUGCCGCGGGGCCCCUGGAUGACUUUGCUUGACGGCCCGCACAGCCUUUGUGUGGAAAUAUCUCUGUGUAUAUCAUACUGUGGACAUGCCCGGCAGUGUGAGCAUAGUGACUGUCCUGUCGUGGGUGUAUUUUUUCAGUUAAUGGAACUGCUACAGCUCCCACAUCCCUGGUUUCAUCUUUCAUCUCUUGACAGUCAUGGCCAAGCACCUGUGUCAUCAUACAAGGGGGUAGCCUCAACCAUGUGGUGCUGUGCUGUGAUUAUAAGAGCUUGACCCAGAGUUAACUUUUUUUUUUUUUCAUUAAACUGGUAUUAGCCUCCAUUGCUCUUAGACAGAUGGGCCCACCUAUGACUACAGGGUCCAGUCAUUUGGACACUACAUUACAGGCCACACUUCCCCUCCUCAUGGAGACCAGCAAUGAAUGAGAGCAGGAGUCAAGCAACACUACAAGGACGUGCUUGUGCUCCUGGACUGGGUCAAGUGGAGGGGGUUUUCAUCUUUGGAUGACCUGGUAGAGCCAAAAGACUUCAGUUCCCCAACAGGAGGGAGCACAGGUCUUUACCUGGGUGGAGGAGGGUUUCACAGCAGAGAAAGUCACGGGUCAAUACAGGGAAACAAAACUGAUAGAAACACAUAGAAAGACAUGUAGAGACACAUACACAGAGACAGGAAAAGUAACAAGAGUGGCCAUCACAUAUUCAUACACCUGAAUAGAUAGAGGGAUCCAGUGACAUGUCACAUGGUUCCCAGACACUCAAUCAGCAGCCAUGUCUGUCCUCUUCUAUGUGUCCAAACAGAAAGUGCCACAGCCAGACUUAUUACUUCCAGAGGUGACACAGAGGUGACUUUCUAAUUUGUUUCCUUUUGGGGUGGAGAUUUCAGCCCCCUGUGAAGUGUUAGGCAGUGAUUGGUCAAAGGGAGCCCUGGUGUGGUGGUAUGAAAAGGAAUGGCCCCAUAGACUUACAUAUCGGAAUGUUUGGCCCAUCUUAGCAUCAUUAUUAGGAAGUGUGGCCUCCUUGGAAUAGGUGUGGCCUUGUUGGAUAAUGUGUCAAUAUGGAGGUGGGCUUUGAGGUCUCUUAAGCUCAAGCUAGGCCCAGUGUGUCUCAGUGUUCUGGUGCUUGUGGAUCAAGAUGUAGAAUUUGCAGCUCCUUCUCCAGCACCGUGUCUGCCUGCAUGGGGCCAUGCUUAUCCCCUUGACACUAAUGGACUAUAUGUCUAACAUUUAAGUCAGCCCUAAUUACAUGUUUUUCUUUGUUAGAGCUGCCAUGGUCAUGCUGACUCCUAACAGCAAUAAACACUAAGAAAGGCAUUGUGAAUCGCCUGGCCAUUUUAUUUUGUUAGGUAGAAUUGAACGUUGGGGCUUUGGGUAAGGAAAGCAGGUGUAAUGCUUUAAGUGGUGCUUAAAUGGGCCAUACUAGUUAGAGCAUGGAAGACAGUGGUGCUGAGGGUUAUUGGAACUAUGGGGGCCUAGCUCAAGAGAUUUUAGAUGAGAAGAAUGUUAGUGCAUUGCUUAGAGAUUGUUCUUGUGAUAUUUUAGUGAAGAAUGUGCCUGCUUUUUGCACUUGUCCAAAGAGUUGGCCUGAGGCUAAAGUGAAGAGUUUUGUAAUAAUUCAUUUGGCAGAGGAAAUCCCAAAACAGACUAGUAUAGACUCUGUUGUGUCAUUAUUGGUCUUCCCCCUUUGAAGAGGAACAAACUGAGCAUGUAAAAAUACCCAGUGUACAGAUUGAGGAGAACAGGGGCACCAGGAACCUGAAUGGAGCUGUAAGUCCUGUGUUCAAGAAGAUAAACAGAUUUAGAAAUGGAAUAAAGAGAAUGGUAACCUAUGGGUAAGAUCACACCCAGCUAGACUUCCAAUUUGUGAAAAGGUAAUAGAAUUGGUGAGGUUCAGGCAUGGUGGUGCAUGCCUUUAAUGCCAGUACUCAGAAGGCAGAAACUGGUGUAUCUGUAAGUUUAAGGCCAGCCUGGUCUACAGAUCCAGUUCCAGACAUCAAAGCUUGGGUAGUGGAGGAAACCUUUGAAAACAGAAAGCUAGCUAAGAUGUAAUCCAAGGGGUCAUUGUUCCAACCCCAGCAAACAGUAGAACUUAGCCGCUUCGGUCCCAUGGUUUUGGCUUUGGAGUCAAAGAUAGAAGAAAAGGAUUAUAGAAUCUCCCUCUAUUUCUAGGGAAUGCUGCUGAGGCCAGGCAUGUGUCAGUGGUGUCCCUGAAUGUAAGUCUAGAGGGGUCAUUGCAUGAAGCAAUACAGGCGAAGCCUGGAUUGCCUUGGAGACCCCAAAAUGCUAGGGAGUGGAACCAACCCAAGAGAAAGAAGCGUGUUGCAGUCACCAAAGCUGAAAGGAGUGGAGAUCUGAAGAGCAUUUUGACAUCAGACAUGGAAUGCAGAGUUUGGACUUUCCCCGGCUGGUUUUCAGUCUUGCUUUGUUCCAUCAUUUCCUAAUUCUGCUCCCCUUCCUGCAUUUUGGAAUGAUAGUGUGUAUAUCCUGUGCCAUUUUAUGUUGGAGUAUAUGAUCUACUUUUUAAUUUUGAUUUUACAAGGGAUUAUAGUUAAGACAUCCAUGAAUUUCAGAAGAGACUUUGAAUUUUUAAAUAAGUUUGAGACUGUUAUAGACUAUGGGGACUUUGGUGCAUUAUGGUAUGGCUAUAAACAUAUGAGAGCCAGGGCUUGUGUUAGUUUGAAUAGGAUUGUCUCUCAUAGACUGGUGUCUUUGAAUGCUUGGCCCAUAAGUAAUGGCACUAGAAGAGGUGUGGCCUUGUUGGAGUAAGCGUGUCACUGUGAAGGUGAACUUCAAGGUCUGAGUGUCUCAGUGUCCUGCGGCUGCCUUUGAACCAAGAUAAUAGAGCUCUCAGCUCCUCCUACACCAUUGCGUGACACCAGGCUUCUUGCUCUGAUAAUAAUGGACCAACCCUCUGAAAUGUAAGCCAGCCUCAAUGAACUGAUUUUUUUUUUCCUGCUGAGCAGUAAAAAUCCUAACUAAGACUCCGGGGACCUGGAAUAUUUCAGGUUGUGACCCCCUAGCAGUCCCCAAACCCCUGGUGUCCUGACGUUUGGUUUCUGGAAACUCACUGAGACCUCAAGAAAUGUGGGUAUUCACCACAGAGGACUACUAGGGCAUGGGUUUAAGCUUGGGACUAUUGGGACUACUCUGGUUUUGGGGUCUGAGUACACUAUCAAGUCUUUCUCAGCAUGAGUGCUUCUGGGUUGACAUCAGUUAACAGGAACAGUUAGCCAGGAACACAACUAAAGCUCAAAGCAAGGUUAGUACAUUUACAGACUUCCCAAUAACUAUGAACUUCAAUGGAUUAGAACUUUGUUUCUCCUUUUUGGCAGGUGGUGCUGCAUAUGUGCUGAGUUUUACAGCCUGAAUGGCACUUCCAUGAUGGAGUCAGUUAUGUUAAGGUCUGGGCCCUAUUACAUUGCUAGAUUAAGCAACAUUUUUCUUGUGUUUGAGUGAAAUGUAAAUGUCUGAUAGGUCCAUUUGGGUUAUAAUAUCUCUUAGCUCCAGUAUUUCUCCAUUUAGUUUUUGUCUGCGUGACCUGUCCAUGGGUGAGAGUGGGGUAUUGAUGUCUCCCACUAUUAGUGUGUUAGGGACCAUAUUCAACUUAAGCUUUAGUAGUCUUUCUUUUACAAAGGAGGCUGCCCUUGUGUUUGGUGAAUAGAUGUUAGAAAUUAACACAACAUCGUGCCAGAUUUUUCCUCUAAAUAUGUAGUGUCCUUCCCAUCUCUUUCAAUUCAUUAAGCUUAUGGGCAUACUAGAUGAGAAAUGAGGCCACAUUAGUUAUUUAUUUCCCUGUGGGCUUCACACAUGAUAGACAGAAAAUAGUCAGCCUCUGUAUCAGCUUUUAUAUAGAAUUUCCUUCACCUGUCAUCCCAACACUUGAAAAGUUGAAGCAGGAGGAUCACAAUAAGAUGUGUGAUUUACUUGGGAGCUAGGUGGCAGGGCCCCCAAAAGAGAAAAAACGUUUUUACUACACCACUGAACCAUCUCUCAUCCCUUUUUAUUUCUUUUAAGAUUUAAUUUAUUAUUGUCUUUUUGUCUGCACAUGCAUAGUACUGUUCAUAAUAAGAUGACAGCAUAUGGGACCCAGUCCUCUCUACCAUGAGGGUCUUAAGGACCAAACCACAUCUAUCAGGCUUGGCUACAAGCACCUAUAUCUUCUGAGCCAUCCCCUGACAUCUACUGAGCCAUGAUCUUUUUGUUAAUCAUUGUUGGUUUUCAAAACAGACUCUUGAGGUCCAGGCUGACCUUGAAAUCAUGACCUUGUUGAGUCCACCUCCAGCUACUGGGAUGACAGGUUUCAAUAUCACGCCCUGUUUAUGCAGAAGCCUGGUGCUCGCUGGGCUAGUACUCUUCCCAAUGAGACUCAUCUGAAAUAAAAACAUUGAUAUAACCCACUUGGUGAUGAUCACAGGUCCACACUGAGAUCUUGUGUCAACAAACAAAAACCAAAGAAAAUCCUGCAAGUAAAUGUUUUUGUUAAGAGAUUAUGUAUGUGUGUUGAGAGAGUCUUAGUUGCCUAGACUGUCCUUGAACUGACACUGUAGCCCUUGAGAUCCUGACCCUCCUGCCUCAGCCUUCUAAGUACCUUCUAAGUAUCUGCACCACCAAGUGAGGAUGCCAGGGCACAAGACUAUGUGUCCAUGGUCACAGCUAGUAAUCAGAGGUCCAUGACAAGAUCAGACUGUUCCUAGGGAAGGGUCUGAAUCUAGAACCUUCCUUAAGAUGGAAUUCUAUUAGUUCAGUGUGGAAGGAUGGGAAGACCCAUAGAAUUCUAUAAUAAUUGCUAGAUCUCAAAUUUUAACAAAUGCUGAGGUUCUUAUUAACAUUUCAAAGCAGUAUUUUUUUGUUUGCUCUGCCACCUACCAAAUUUGGUUAUAAAUUCCAUUUGUCUUUCAAAACAGGGUUUCUCUGUAAAAACCCUUGCUUUCUUUGAACUUGCUUUGUAGACCAGAUUGGCCAAGAACUCACAGAGAACUUCCUGCUUUGAGUGUUGGGAUUAAAAGGCAGUGUCCCCACAGUUCAGCUUUACUAUGAAUUCUAUAUUCUGAGUAAUCACUGACUUCUCUCUACUUCCUCCACUCCAUAAGUGUCUCAACCCUAGCCUGAACCCUCUACCCACUAUGGGUGAUUCGCUUGGGCACAUAUCUCACACCUACAGUCUCUGGCCUGUUAUACCUGUCUGGGUUUCUCUCUAUACCCACACAGAUUUCUACUGAAUACACCAUCCCCCUUUCCAAAACGCUUCCACUACUCUUUUGCCUUCUCUUGAUGGAGCCUCGUGAGGAUUAAGAAGAGGCAGAUAAAAGAAACAGAGACAGAAACACAGGAUAGAUUCGGGAAGACUGCCCAGUCCAUGCUUUUCAGCACACCGACAGCCCCGAGUCUAAUUUAGACCCUGCUUAUAUACAGACUAGAGGCAAAGCAGAAAAAAGAGCAGCAUAAUCAGUUAACCAGCUCCCUGUACUGUCCUUGAAUCGAGGAGCAGCCAGGUUCACUAUCUAAAAUUAGGGUGCUACUAGCAUCAGCUGGCAUCAGUACUCAUUAGAGAGAAAAUAUACUCUAUCCUAUGGGCUUAAUCAGGGCUUUCCCAUGGCUCUCAAGGAGACUGCAGCAAGCCAGCUUGAACUCUAAUGUCUUACAAGUCAGAAUAAACUUCAGAUGGAAACUGAGUCACUUGUGGGCUCCCACAUCCUCUCCUGGUUGAGUGUCAGUCUGGAGCUGCCCACUUUGUCUGUUAUUACUACAAAAGCCACCAGUGGCCAGGGUGCCCCUCGCAAGCCACAGGGUUUCUGAUCUCGUGGGAAGGGAUGCCUUUGUGAUUUAUUGAAAUUUUCUCAGAUAAGUCUUUAUUUCACUUAAGAGAUACCCCAAGUUGAAAUUCUUGUUACUAUGACAAUACAUUUGCUUUUAGCUGCUCCUGCAAUUCCAGAAAUUCCUUGAGCCUGGCCAGGCCAAUGUGACACUUUUCUUUUGUCUUCUUUUUCUAGGAGCUUCCUGAGUCCCAUAGCUUCUCUAAACCCAUUGGACUACCAUAAAAAUAUAUAUGAAAAAUAUAAUGUUUUCCAUAUUUUAAAUCUUACACAAAACCCUUCCUGUAAGUGAAAAUAACACAGUUUCUCCCAUAUUUACAGCAGGGUGAAAAACUGUAUUUACCAGAAAACAUGCUAGAUUUGGUCUACAGGUUGUAAGCAGGUCAGUUGUACCUAAGGAUAAUGAUUUACACUAGGCAUAAGCAACCAAACUCUUGUGGUGCAGUGUAUGUCUCCUGAGGCCUCAUCAAGUACAACAUAUUGAUUCCAAAUAUUUAUUUUUCAGAUCCAACUUUCCUAAUCUUUUGCAAUUUGUAUCUGUAACUACAUAAUAUACUCCUUGGGAAAUGACAGUUUGAUAGAAUCACAGAUCCUCCCCGACUCUCCAGCUACAUGAGUUCCCAUCCGUUUCUUUUGGCUCACUCAUUUGAAUACAAACAUGCUUUUUAAAAAUGUAAAAUAAAAGAAGAUAAAAGCCAGCAAAAUCAAACAAGAUGAAACAAACUAACAGAAGACAAAUUGCCAAAGGAUGGUCCAUGGAAUAUACAUAGACACGUAGACCUGCAUGGAAAUCCCAUAAAAAUACAACACCAGAAACUACAAUGCUAUGCAAAAGAUCUGUGGGGAAAGAAAAAAGGGAGGAAAAAAAUUCCAGACAAAUCAUAGUGAUGAGACAAGGAAACUCCCGAAAUGCCAUGGAGCUUGUUUUGUGUUGGCCAUUUACUGUGGGGCAUGGGAUCUUUCUUUAAGACUGGUUCUAAUUUUUCCCUUGUUAAUGAUUAUCACUUGAAGAUAGCUGCUGGUUUAGGGUUGGUCAGUUGUAUCCACUUUCCCUCUCAGGGUUGGGACCCUAUCUGACUUCGGCCCGUUGCAGGCACUAUUAUGUGCUGACAGUGAGUUUAUAUGCUCACCAGUCCUGCUGUGUUUGGAAGGCAAUAUUGCCUUGUUGUUCCCUAUUCCCCCACUGGCUCUUACAAUAUUUCUAUUUGCUUUUCCACAGGGUUCUCUGAGCUCUGAAGGGAUGGUUUGAUGGAGACCUCCCAUUUAGGAUCAAGGUCUCUCACUUUGUGUGCAUUUUCUUGUGGAAUCCCCUUUGGCAGCAAAGGAACGUGCCUGUUCACUGUUCAACACUAGAUGGAGCGAAAGAUUGGUAUAUAAUGUUAUCUACUGAGAGUGGCAUUACAGGUAUUUUAAUUUCUGUGAAAAUAACAAAUUUUCUUUUUCUUUUCUCAUCUUAGCACAUUUGUAAUUUCCCUUACCAGAACUUGUUAGAGAAUACUUGAUUAUGCUGAAGUCUGUACUGUUUUGCUGGGACUGGUGAAUUAAACCAUCCCAUCCUA